ensembl:lincRNA
CUCAGGUCAUGAUCCCGGGGUCCUGGGAUCAAGCCCCACGUUAGGCUCUCUGCUCGGCGGGGAGCCUGCUUCCUCCUCUCUCUCUCUCUCUCCCUGCCUCUGCCUACUUGUGAUCUCUAUCUGUCAAAUAAAUAAAAUCUUUAAAAAAAAAAAUCUGAUGCUGAGAUGGCUUAUGGUUAAAGUCUUAUAGAACUAUCUUAUGGUAUGCUUGGAAUGUUCCUAUUUGUCUGAAAUAUUUCAUAAUAAAAGUUUAAUAAGACAAAUUCUACUUCUCCCACUUAGUAUUUAUGGGAUCCUAAUUUUCCUUUUUUUCUAGUUGCAAACAAAACCAAUAUAAUAUCUACUAGAUGGGCUGUUGUGAGAAGUUCAAAAGACCCUCAAACCAAUCAAGAUACCUGCAUGGAGUCUGGAAGGAGGCCUCCUUGGGAGUGACCAGGCACUGGGACGUGUGGUGGUCCAGCCUAGCCAAUCAGGCAUGUGGCAUGCAGUUGUCACGCUCUGCUCAAAAAUGUGAGGCGAGAGAUGGCCCAUUUUCCUUUGGACUGGAACAGACUGAAGGAGUGAAGCUGGGUCCUGAUGUUCCAGUUAAAACAGAAAGAAGAUUUAGAUUUAUUCUCAUGGAUCUCCCAUGUCUGCCAUCAAAUCAUCUCAAAUAAUAACAGGUUUGGAUUUUUUCCCCCUCCCCCACUUUUGGCUUUUUUCUACAACCAAAAUAAUCCCAACCAAGCUCAGGUUACUAACAAGGGAGUAGAUUCUACUGUCUCUAGCAAUACUACUGUGGAACCUGAGCAGGAAAGAGGAGGCAAAGCUAACACUGAUUCACCAGACAUGUCCAAUACCAAGUUCUCUACCAUGUAUGCGUGAAUCGAACAACUGUAUAUUUUUUUUUAAAAAACAACACACUAAAAUAAAUAAAUAAAAAUAAAUAAAUAACUUUUUUCCAAUCUCAUGACUUCACUCAGAUUCUCCAUUCACUCUCUCCUACUGCAUGCUCUUAUGGGGCUGCUUCCCGGAACCCUGCAUGCUGGCCCAGCAUUUCCAGUUCUUUCCAGUAUCAUGUCUUUAUAACAGAAAGAUUACUUUGGUGUCCUAGGCAACCAAGCUCAGUGUCUACAUUCCUAUCCUCAGGAUAAUCCUAAUGCUAGCUAGCAUAUUUUACAAGAGUACAUAAACCAUGCUAAGCUUCAGUGGGUUGAAAUAUGCCAGGACAAGAUGUACGCCUCCCAUUUUCUCUUUCCAAGUUCUGGCUUUUGGACCUUUUUUUUAUGACUUUUCGGUUUUGUUUUUUGGUUGGGGGUGGGGUGGAGUUUCAGAGGAUGUUGUUGGGUUCUUAUUAUUUUAUUGGUUGAGUGGUGGCAACCUAUUUUUCCCCAGUUUAAACCUUUUUUUUUUUUUUUUUUUUUUUUGAGAGGGAGAGAGAGCAAGGAUGACCAGGGGCAGGGGGAUCAGAGGGAGAGGAAGAGGGACAAGCAGACUCCUCACUGAGCCACAGAGCCCAACACAGGGCUCAACAUGGGGGUCGGUCCCAAGCCUCCAAGAUCAUGAUCAGAGCUGAAGGCACACAUUUAACUGAUUGAGCCAUCCAGGUUCCCCAGUCUACUUAUUCUGAAAUCUGAACAUGAACUCAAACAUGUUUUAUUAUCAACAUUACUCCAAUUCCUUCUCAGUAGUAUUAUUCUUUCAUUGUGGCUUCUAUAUUUCCCUUUUGUCUCUUUAACUGCUUAAACAUCCCUAUAUCAAUGGUCUCUUUCAGAUUGGAUUUCUGUGAUCUCAAGUUUGGAACUGCUGAUCCUUCUGCUUGUUCUGUCUGCAAGUUCUUGUUUAUAGUGGAUCUUGUUUAUAGUUCUUGUUUAUAGUGGAUCUUCUAACAACUGUUUUAUAAUUUUUUUACUGAAAGCUCAUCUUCAGCUGAGCUAAAUCAAGCUCUCCUAUGACCACAGUAAUUUUCCAACUGCUUCUGCA